rnacentral:rRNA from 1 species
AGUAACGCGUAAAGAACUUGCCUCACAGUUAGGGACAGUAUUUGGAAACGAAUGCUAAUACCUAAUAUUAUGAUAAUAGGGCAUCCUAUAAUUAUGAAAGCUAUAAGCGCUGUGAGAGAGCUUUGCGUCCCAUUAGCUAGUUGGAGAGGUAACGGCUCACCAAGGCGAUGAUGGGUAGCCGGCCUGAGAGGGUGAUCGGCCACAAGGGGACUGAGACACGGCCCUU